rnacentral:rRNA from 1 species
CGCCUGCCGGCGACCGGCGCACGGGUGAGUAACACGUAUGCGACCUGCCCCCGCAGGGGGAUAACCGGGAGAAAUCCCGACUAAUACCGCGUAACGCCGCGGACCUGCAUGGGUCUGCGGCCAAAGGAAGCGAUUCCGGCGGGGGAUGGGCAUGCGGCGCAUUAGUUAGUUGGCGGUGUAACGGACCACCAAGACGACGAUGCGUAGGGGUUCUGAGAGGAAGGUCCCCCACACUGGUACUGAGACACGGACCAGACUCCUACGGGAGGCAGCAG